GAUGAACGCUGGCGGCGUGCCUAAUACAUGCAAGUAGAACGCUGAAGGAGGAGCUUGCUCUUCUGGAUGAGUUGCGAACGGGUGAGUAACGCGUAGGUAACCUGCCUGGUAGCGGGGGAUAACUAUUGGAAACGAUAGCUAAUACCGCAUGACAACAGUUAUUGCAUGAUAACUGUUUAAAAGGGGCAACUGCUCCACUACCAGAUGGACCUGCGUUGUAUUAGCUAGUUGGUGAGGUAACGGCUCACCAAGGCGACGAUACAUAGCCGACCUGAGAGGGGGAGCGGCCACACUGGGACUGAGACACGGCCCAGACGCCUACGGGAGGCAGCAGUAGGGAAUCUUCGGCAAUGGACGGAAGUCUGACCGAGAAACGCCGAGGGAGUGAAGAAGGGUGUCGGAUCGUAAAGCUCGGUUGUAAGAGAAGAACGAGUGUGAGAGUGGAAAGUUCACACUGUGACGGUAGCUUACCAGAAAGGGACGGCUAACUACGUG
rnacentral:rRNA from 1 species